rnacentral:rRNA from 1 species
GACAGAGGGUGCAACCGUUGUUCGGAAUUACUGGGCGUAAAGCGCGUGUAGGCUGCUCCGCAAGUCGGAUGUGAAAGCCCUGGGCUCAACCUAGGAAGUGCAUUCGAUACUGCGGAGCUGGAGUCCUGGAGAGGAAGGCGGAAUUCUCGGUGUAGAGGUGAAAUUCGUAGAUAUCGAGAGGAACACCGGUGGCGAAGGCGGCCUUCUGGACAGUGACUGACGCUGAGACGCGAAAGCGUGGGGAGCGAACAGG